AUUAUCUUUUUGAUUGUUUUUGUGCCAACAUGCAUUGUUGGUAUAUACUUGCAUGGACAGAAGAUUACCUACUUCCUUCGCCCGUUAUGGCAAUCUCCUCCCAAGCCCUUUAUUGAAGUUACUCACUAUUAUCACGAGAAUGUCUCGAUGGAGAACCUUUGCAAGGAAACCCUUUAUUGAAGUUACUCACUAUUAUCAUGAGAAUGUCUCGAUGGAGAAUCUUUGCAAGCAACACGGGUGGGGAAUUCGUGAAUAUCCUCGGCGUGUUUAUGAUGCAGU
rnacentral:lncRNA from 1 species